rnacentral:lncRNA from 1 species
AUUUUAGUGAGUUCUAAUUAGCAGUUAUUGCCUAAAGGAGAAAACCCAUAUCCAAGAACCUCUUAACCAAGCUUGGUCUUACCAAGCUGAACCAGUCUGAUGCAGAUCUGCCACAUCUUCAAUUCACAGAUGCUCUCAGAACAGUUCCAAGAAUGAAAGAGAGCUAAGUUUCUGUGCUGAAGAGAAUGAAGCAUUAGCUAGUCCUAAAUGGUGCUAGAACUAGAAGUAUUGGUUCUCUCCUGUAUUAUUGAGAAAUUGUCCAAUUUAAGGAGUUUUUGUUUUCAUUUAGAGAUUUUUAAGUGACUACCCAUCACUACAGGAAUAUGUCCUUUUUAUGAAAUAAAACUAACAUGAGAUUGACUUUCUAAUAAUAAAAUUCACUAAGCCCAUCAUUGUGUUUGAAAGACUUAGUACCAAAAUCAAGUAUUUUUAGUAACAAAUAGGAAUCUUGUCAACAAAGUGUAGCCCAGGAAUUUUGUAAAGGUUUCUCAAGGAACAAAAUAAGACAGAAAAAACUUUAGGUGGGCUGUGUAACUUGGGAAACAGUAUCAGCUUGA